GGCGAACGGGCGAGUAAUGCAUCGGAACAUGUCCAUGUCGUGGGGGAUAGCCCGCCGAAAGGCGGAUUAAUACCGCAUACGCCCGAGAGGGGAAAGUGGGGGACCGCAAGGCCUCACGCGAUUGGGUUGGCCGAUGUCCGAUUAGCUAGUUGGUGGGGUAAAGGCUUACCAAGGCGAUGAUCGGUAGCUGGUCUGAGAGGAUGAUCAGCCACACUGGGACUGAGACACGGCCCAGACUCCUACGGGAGGCAGCAGUGGGGAAUUUUGGACAAUGGGGGCAACCCUGAUCCAGCCAUUCCGCGUGAGUGAAGAAGGCCUUCGGGUUGUAAAGCUCUUUUGUCCGGAGCGAAACGGGCGGGGUGAAUAUCCCUGUCUACUGACGGUACCGGAAGAAUAAGCACCGGCUAACUACGUGCCAGCAGCCGCGGUAAUACGUAGGGUGCGAGCGUUAAUCGGAAUUACUGGGCGUAAAGCGUGCGCAGGCGGUUUUGUAAGCCAGAUGUGAAAUCCCCGGGCUUAACCUGGGAAUGGCAUUUGGGACUGCAAGGCUGGAGUGUGGCAGA
rnacentral:rRNA from 1 species